UACGUAGGGGGCAAGCGUUGUCCGGAAUCAUUGGGCGUAAAGAGCGCGUAGGCGGCCCUGUAAGUCAGCUGUAAAAGUCAAAGGCUCAACCUUUGAAAGUCCGUGGAUACUGCCGGGCUAGAGUCCGGAAGAGGCGAGUGGAAUUCCACGUGUAGCGGUGAAAUGCGUAGAGAUGUGGAGGAACACCAGUGGCGAAGGCGACUUUCUGGCUUAUAACUGACGCUGAGGCGCGAAAGCGUGGGGAGCAAACAGG
rnacentral:rRNA from 1 species